GACGAACGCUGGCGGCGUGCUUAACACAUGCAAGUCGAACGAUGACGACCGAGCUUGCUCGGUCUGAUUAGUGGCGAACGGGUGAGUAACACGUGAGCAACCUGCCCUUCACUCUGGGAUAACCUCGGGAAAUCGGGGCUAAUACCGGAUAUGGGCUCCUGUCGCAUGGCGGGUGUUGGAAAGUUUUUCGGUGAAGGAUGGGCUCGCGGCCUAUCAGUUUGUUGGUGAGGUAGUGGCUCACCAAGGCGAUGACGGGUAGCCGGCCUGAGAGGGCGACCGGCCACACUGGGACUGAGACACGGCCCAGACUCCUACGGGAGGCAGCAGUGGGGAAUAUUGCACAAUGGGCGAAAGCCUGAUGCAGCGACGCCGCGUGAGGGAUGACGGCCUUCGGGUUGUAAACCUCUUUCAGCAGGGAAGAAGCGAAAGUGACGGUACCUGCAGAAGAAGCGCCGGCUAACUACGUG
rnacentral:rRNA from 1 species